rnacentral:rRNA from 1 species
UACGUAGGGGGCUAGCGUUGUCCGGAAUCAUUGGGCGUAAAGCGCGUGUAGGCGGCCCGAUAAGUCCGCUGUGAAAGUCCAGGGCUCAACCCUGGGAUGCCGGUGGAUACUGUCGGGCUCGAGUCCGGAAGAGGAGUGUGGGAAUUCCUGGUGUAGCGGUGAAAUGCGCAGAUAUCAGGAGGAACACCAAUGGCGAAGGCAGCACUCUGGGACGUGACUGACGCUGAGACGCGAAAAGCGUGGGGAGCAAACAGG